AAAUUUCAUAAUUUCAUCAAUUUGUACUAUUCUAUUUAUUGAUUAGUGAUUAGUUGAUUGGGUUUAAUGAUUAUUUGAUUGGGUUUAGUUUAUGUACGAUUGAGAUUGACAUUGGGGCAAACAUUAUUACCUUCCCUAAUGGCAUAGCCAUAUCAAUAUUUGAGAAAUAUGGUAAGAUGAUCUUUAGAUUGCAACUACAUUUUCACAUUUUCUAUUCUAUAUGCUUCAUAUAGAAUAGUAAUUCAUCUUACUGGUAUGAAAUUUGAAUUUAUUAUAUGGAAAAUUGGUGUGGACAUUUGAUUAGAGUUUAUAUUUCUGGGUAGAGUUUAGUGAUUAGUUGAUAGGGUUUAUAUUAUUUUACAGUGAAUAUGCAUGAUGUAUGUUUUGUUGUUGAGUUUAGUAUUUAGUGAUUGUGAGUGGGGUUAGUAUUUAGUGGUUUAUUUUUGUCCAUUUAUUUAUUGAACACAGUGAAAAGUAUGCGGUUAUUUAUUAUGUGACGUGGAAUAUGUAUCUUCCCUUUUAAGAUAAUAAUUUUUGGUAAAUAAUGG
rnacentral:lncRNA from 1 species